rnacentral:lncRNA from 1 species
AUGCUAUAUGCAAUUUUUAUGUAUAUAAGAGUAUUGUUAUAUUUCAAUAACAUUUUAAAGGCAAAUGGGAAUUUUUCAAGGGAAGGAAAACUAAUACCUAAAUUUUGGAUAAAAAUUCUCUGUUUUUACAUUUUGUUAGAAAAAUUAAAGAGAUCAUCUUGGAGUGACAUCAUAAUAUAUAAUUUAUUCAUCACAGUCCACUUUGCAGUAUCUUUUAAGAUUAUUUUUUGCUGAAAGGAGUUCAGGGCAAGGAAAAGUUAUAAUCUACACUCAGAAGGUCCUUUCCCCCAUGCAAAUAACUUGGAAGAAAGUUUCUUUCAAUGUCAUUUCUAAAAUUCUAUCCAUCUACAAUAGCAUCUUAAAUAAAGAGCCAUUAAUUCAAAGGCAUCCCUUUAUGAGAUAAUUUUAUUUUCAUUGAGCAUAUAUAAUCACCUUUUAUUCUGUUUAUUUCUUUAUAUAUGAUUGAAUUCCUUCCUUUUCCUAACUGCCCCACUCCCUUUUCCACCACUUCAAAUAUUAGCUCUUUAAUAGUAGAGAUUUGUAUGUCUGUAAAUUCAUUUGUUUAUUUGUUUUUUUGAUCUAUUUGUUUUUUAUUUCAUUAUCUCCUGAACCUAAAACCAGAGUAUUGCUUGGAACAUAAUCAGGGUUCAGGAACUGAAUUUAACAAAU